rnacentral:lncRNA from 1 species
AAAAACCAUGACCUGAUCAUCUGUCACUUGGCCUUUGCCCACAUAGUGAUGCUAGUCAUUGCAGCAGAGUUAUUGUCUCCAGACGUGUUUGAAUCACUGAAAUUUCAGAAUAACUUCAGAUGUAAGGCUGUGUUCUACACAUACAAUUAGGGUCCUCUCUAUCUGCAACACCUCUCUCCUGAGCAUGCUUCAGGCCAUCACCAUUAGCCCCAGCACUUCCUGGUUGGUGAGAUUUAAACAUAAAAUCACAAAACACAAUAUCCUGGGUUUACUCUUUUUUUGGUCCCUCAAUUUGUCUUUCAACAGUGACAUGAUAAGUUACAUUGUAGGUUUUUCCAAUGUGACCCAGAUAAUACUGAAUGUCAAUAAAUACUGCUCACUUUCCCCAAUAAAUGUCAUCAUCAGAAGGCUGUUUGUUACUCUGUCGUUAUCCAGAGAUGUCUUCCUUGUAGGAAUCAUGCUGCUCUCAAGUGCCUACAUGGUGAUUCUCUUGUCCAGGCAUCAGAGGCGCUCCCAGCACCUUCACAGCACUAGCUUUUUAUUAAGAACCUCCCCAGAGAAAAGGGCCACCAAAACCAUCUUGCUGCUGGUGAGUUUCUUUCUGGUUAUGUACUCAUUGGACUUGUCUCAUCCUCCACAAUGUUGUUAUGGGUAUUCAGUCCUGUCAUCUACAGUGUCCACAAGUUUAUGGUCAAUGCCUAUGCCACUGUCAGUCCUAUGGUGCUAAUCAGAUCUGAU